rnacentral:sRNA from 12 species
CCGACAAGUACUGUAAAGCUUAUCAAUUAAUAUUAGUGUCUUUACAUUUGUAGAGACACUAAUACUAGUUAGUGCCGAAAGUUAUUAAACCGAAUGGAUUUAUAGUAGGUAAUUAAGUUGAAUUGACAACUUCCCUCAAGUGCUAUAUGCCGUAGGGUGGAAAAACAACGUGCCACUGAUCA